rnacentral:rRNA from 1 species
UACGUAGGGGGCAAGCGUUGUCCGGAAUUAUUGGGCGUAAAGCGCGCGCAGGCGGUCAUUUAAGUCUGGUGUUUAAUCCUGGGGCUCAACCCCAGUUCGCAUCGGAAACUGGAUGACUUGAGUGUAGGAGAGGAAAGUGGAAUUCCACGUGUAGCGGUGAAAUGACGUAGAGAUGUGGAGGAACACCAGUGGCGAAGGCGACUUUCUGGCCUAUAACUGACGCUGAGGC